GUAUUUCAUAAUUAUAGCAUUUAUUAUAUCGAUUUAAACCAUAUCUGAAAACAAUUAUUAUUAUAACUUGUUUGGAGAUGUGACAUGACACGAUUCUAAUAGUUUUACUAAUCUUCAAGAUAAGUUGCAUCAAAAUAUAUGAAGAAAAUGUAGUCUGAUCUCUAUUGGCACUCACGAUUUGAAUACAAUUAAAGGUCCAUUUCUAUAUGAUGCUAGAUACCAUAAAAAAUACGGUUCAAACCACUUAAUCAAGAUAAAAUGUAUACAAGAGAAGAAAUUAUGCAGUUAUAUGCAUUAAGUUUCUCGCUCUUUUUCUCAUUAUGUUUGUAAAUUCUGUAAGUAAUUGCAAUAUGUAAUCAAACGGUCCCUUUUUUAAAUCUCCAUUCUGGAAGACCAAAGAUUUGUCUCAUGCAAAUUAAAAUCUGUGUAUAAAAUUAAAUUUACAAUCUGUCAUUUACGAGUUCGUUGCUCUUACAGCCAUACAUUGAGAUUCUAAUUAAUGAAAAUAAUCCUACAUGUAGAAAAUGAUUAAUACAUGUUCAUGUCUAACUACGUUUGCAGAUACAUGCGCACUUAAACAGUAUUUACUAAUCAUAAAAGUCAGUCCUGUUUAUCCUAUUAUAUAUGGUAAUGGAGUUGUUUUAUCUUUGUCUCCUAUCAUUAAUGGAAGUCAUUCAAAGAUCACACUUAAUACAAAAAAUAUUUUUAUCGAGUGCACAGCAACUGAUCUUACAAAGUAUCGAACGGAAGAAAUCAGUUGCAAUAAAGCGAUUAAUUACAUUGGCAUUGAGUACGUGAUCGCACCUUUUUCAUGCAUGUAGAAUAAUGAUUACGAAAUGACAGUUGCUGCUACCAACUAACAAGGGACCGAGAAAUCUCAAUCGCAGCACUUGCGGUUGCAAAGUGACAACAUUUAAAAGGUGAAACAAACUUUGCAAUUGUAUUCAGCCUUUCCGUAAUUGACGUACAUUACAAUAUACAUUUAAUCGUGCUACUUAUUUUAAUGAUACAGCAAAAAGAAUGUGUAUAUAAAGUUAAGGAAUUUUAAGUUUGCAUUAAGUUCGAUAAAACGAAAUGUCUCUUGCAACCAGGAAGAGGCUAAAGAGGAAAUUUAAAUAACAGACGAAUAAUCAAUCAUGAUUGUAAGAUGAAAGAUUGAAAAGGCAGAGACAUCCUCGAUUAAUCGCUGAUCAUUUUUAAUUAUCCAUAAUAUCUAUGGCCAUGCCUAUAAUACUUAUGCAUAUUACACGUCAAAUAUUUUGGUAAAAAAACUUGCUCGAGUAUCCAUAUCCCUUUGCUUCACAGUGAUAGCCUGAUAUAUGAUCGGCAUUCGUUUUUUUUCUUUUCUAAGCGAAUUAAAGUUUGCAUAGAGGUUCAGAAGAAAUCUUCCUUCCCACGGGUACGACCUUGUCGUGGUGGGAGGGCUUAGUACCCCGAAGGCUUGAAUGCAGGGGCCACAACCGGAAAUGGAUUUAUAUCUUAAGGGUUCCUUCUUAUUAGUAGAUGGCGUUAUUGAUGUGACAAAUAAAAAUUUAUAUCAAUGAUAUGUAGCAUUAUAUUAGUGUAUGUACAAGAGCCACAACCUGUACGUACACUAAUAUAAUGCUACAUAUCACUGAUAUAAAUUUUUAAUGUAUUUGUCACAUCAGUAACGCCAUCUACUAAUAAGAAGAAACCCUUAAGAUAUAAAUCCACUUCCGGUUGUGGCCAUGCUUGAAUGCCUGUGGGGGAAGCUAACUGUACCCAUUGCUUCGUCGAUCGUAAAAUUGUUCGUCGCGUCGCACGUUUGCUUCGGGAGUGCCGACCGAUUUAAUUGAAAACGAAUCGUAGCCGGUUCGUCGCGUCGUGCGUUUGCUUCGGGAGUGCCGUUUAAGUAAAUGGAUUAAAAGGGCUUUUCUCAUAAUUCCAAUGAUACAACUCGAUUGAGUAAUACCGUUCGUCUCCCUCAGCCGCUUCAUCUAAAA
rnacentral:lncRNA from 1 species